rnacentral:pre_miRNA from 1 species
AGUGAAAUAGCUGGGUUAAAUGGUUGUUCCAUUUAAAGUUUUCUGAGGAAUCUCCAUACUCUCUUCCAUAGUGGUUGCACCAAUUUGCACUCCCACCAACAAU